ensembl:misc_RNA Metazoa_SRP Metazoan signal recognition particle RNA
GCUGGGUGCAGUGGCGUGCACCUGUAGUCCUAGCUACUUGGGAGGCUGAGGCAGGAGGAUCACUUGAGCCCGGGAGUAUGAGUCCAGCCUGGGCAACACAGCAAGACCCUGUCUCUC